AUGUUGGCACAGUGCACGGAGCCAGGCACGGUGCAGGGCUUUCUGCCAGGGCUGCGGGCGGCCGUGCAGCUGAGCGAGUCCGGAGGGGGCCUCCAGCCGCCCGGCGGCAGCCUCCGCCUCGCCUGCAAGGGAAGCGGCUUCACCUUCAGCAGCUUCUGGAUGUACUGGAUCCGGCAAGCGCCCGGGAAGGGGCUCGAGUGGGUCGCGUGGAUUAGGCCUGAUGGCAGCGAUCCAGGCUACGCUUCUGCGGUGAAAGGGCGCUUCACCGCCUCCAGGGACAACGCCCAGAGCACGCUCUACCUGCAGAUGAGCAGCCUCCAGACCGACGACACCGGCACCUACUACUGCGCGAAAUGUGCUGGUAGUGGUUGUGCUGGUUGGGCUGGUAGUUGUGGUUAUUAUGGUGGUGCUGGAGACCCUGUUUGUGGCCAGGGCCCUGAUGGGAAGCACCCACGAGUGCUGAUGGCUGUGACCUGUCCAAAGUGA